rnacentral:lncRNA from 1 species
UUGACACAUUAAAUUCAUCCAUUGACUGGGACAAUUUAGGUGAACGUUUGUAUGUAACGACCACUGCUUACUAUGUACUUUUUAAAGACACUUAAACUAUGGGGUCACCAAAGGUUCUCAACACCUUAAUAAAGUCAUUCGAAAAAUUAAUCAGAAAUAACACGAUGUUUUGAUUUAUAUCAAUUAUAUAAAUCAAAUCAUAAAGGUUAUUCCUGAUUAAUUUUUCGAAUUAUUUUAUAAUUAAAGGCGUUAAGAAACCUUUGGUGACCCCACAGUUUAAAUGUCUAUCGUAGGUACGUCGUGAACAGUGGUCGUUACAGACAAACGUUCACGUAAAUUGUCCCAGUCAGUGGAUGAAUUUAAUGUGUCAAUCAAUGGCCACAGCCACACUGUUUUGAAUUUCAUUCUAUAUAUAUA